GUAAUAAGCAAAGACCUCAUUUGUUUCUGACCCGCAAGUUAUGUAUCCAUUGUUCACAGAUAAUCCCACAAAAUUCUUCUCAUUGGUGUGCCCUUUAAGGGUUAAGACACAAGCAUCGGUCGAAUAGCCACUUGGAUUGGUUUUAUUGAGAUCCCAUAUCUUCAAACUGUUGUCAGUGGAUGCAGAAAUGAGCGUUUCAGCAUCCAAAAAUUUUGCAUAACUAACAGAUUUCUCGU
rnacentral:misc_RNA from 1 species